rnacentral:RNase_P_RNA from 1 species
GCCCACGUAAGUGGGAUCAGGUAAGGGUGAAAGGGUGCGGUAAGAGCGCACCGCGCGGCUGGUAACAGUCCGUGGCACGGUAAACUCCACCCGGAGCAAGGCCAAAUAGGGGUUCAUAAGGUACGGCCCGUACUGAACCCGGGUAGGCUGCUUGAGCCAGUGAGCGAUUGCUGGCCUAGAUGAAUGACUGUCCACGACAGAACCCGGCUUAUCGGUCAGUUUCACCU